rnacentral:lncRNA from 1 species
GGAAAUCAAGAGCCAUGAUUUGGCAGCUUCCCCAGGAGAGAGUCCGGAAAGACCAGGGACAAUGAAAGUGGAGGAGCAGCCAGGAAAGGAGAAGCCACUGUGUCUGCAGGACAGGGGCUCCCAGAGCAAAGGGGAGAUAAAGGGGACACCUGUGACCUCAGGGAGGACACUGCACAUGGCAGGGACACCAUUUUAGCACAACUGGGUGUGUGAGGAGAGGGCACUGUGAGAAGUCAAGUGCCUGGAGCUGUGGCAGAGAAAGAGGCAGCAUCUGCAAGAGCUGAAGACCCUUUCAUUCCAGGUGUGAGAUCAUGGUCACUGGCUCCUGCUGCAUGUCAGCGUCUCCCUGUCACCCAGGCCCGCCCCAUCGCCAGGUGGCUUUGCCAGGUAACUCUCUGCUUCCCCCUGGUGGCCGCUCCACACUGUGGGCUGGGGGCUCAGGGACUUCCUGGGUCUAGGUGUGGAUUCAGAACCUGCUGUUCAGGUCCCUGAUGCCCUGAUCCGAGGACUGCUGGUCCCAGGGGAGGAACACCUCUUCUCUGUGUGGCCCCUGCCUGACUCAAGAUCAGGUACAAGGGGCUCAGCUUACCCAAUAAAAUACAAAAGUAUAUAUGUAGAAACA